UGUUAUUAUGUGUUUGUGAGGCAUCCCAAAUAAAGUCAUUCUUUAGCCGAAGAGGCAGCAACUAUUAUGGAUGCCACGGAGAUAAGUAUUUGUUAUUUCUUUCCAUUGUGUACACAGGGAGAAAAUCAACUGUCAACCGGCUUGUCAGUAUGAGCAGUUAGGUAGAAGUAACAUGAUUGGAAGCAUUAAGAACCAGGAACACAGGACAAUUUUCUGAGGGACGUGCAUCUAAUACAUUACCUAGAACACAAACUGAAUCGGAUGCUGUAGCCCACCACCGUGAACUGAAGCUUCAUGAAGAGAGAUUCAUGUGACCCUCGUGUGGAAGCGAAUGGAACAAAGACCAACUUUUCCAUUUGGACCCCUGGUUUCUCUCGAAUGCAGUUGUCCCAUCCUCAGCCUUUGAAUGAAAUGACUGUGCUGGUGGUCCCACGCCCAGGGGAAACAUCCCGUCCCCUAGAGGACCCUCAGUCUGUUGGAAAGUGUAAUGAGUAAGACUCAGUGAGCAGCAGAGGCUGAGAAAGUUGGGGGCCAAGGAGCAGGUCAGAGUUUCCCCACUUCUGCUUUUAACUCUCCUCCACUCAAAAUAGAAACUAUUUCCACCUUACUCCCUGUCCCCAACCUCAGCUUCAAGGUGGUCUACCACAAACACUCUGAGUGACAGUAGGGGAGUCACCAACUCUCCUGUGAGUCCGCACCCCAAGCUGAGGAAACGGAAGCCUAGAAAGGCCAAAGAAAGUACUGUGUUGACCUUUUACAAUUAUUAAUUAAUUAAAUACAUAUGGGUGUUUUA